GUGAAGUCGCUCAGUCAUGCCCAACUCUUAGCGACCUCAUGGACUGCAGCCUACCAGGCUCCUCCGUCCAUGGGAUUUUCCAGGCAAGAGUACUGGAGUGGGGUGCCAUUGCCUUCUCCUUGGUUUUGGCUUUAGUUGGCUUUUUUUUCCGCCUUUUUUUUAAUUGGAAGGGGGGUGGGUGACCACUGAAGAGUCUUAUAAAGGUGGGUUUGGAACAUUAGAAGUUGAGAAGCUCUUUUGGGGAGACAAAGGUGACAGGAAAGCAGAAGAGAGAAAUAACUUGCAUCUGUUUUAUUUUUUUUAAUUAAUUUAUUUAUUUUUGUGCUGAAUCUUCAUUGCUGCACUGGAUUUUCUCUAGUUGCAGUGAGCGGGGGCUACUUUUCGUUGUUUGGUGCAAGGGCUUCUCAUUAUAGUGACUUCUCUUGUUGAAGAGCAAAGGCUCUAGGGUCCACGGGCUUCAGUAGUUGUAGCACGUGGGCUCAACAGUUGGGUUACUGGACCCACAGCACAGGCUCAGUAGCUGACACAUGGAUUUAGUUGCUCUGCGGCAUGUGGGAUCAUUCAGGAUCAGGGAUUGAACCUGUGUCUCCUGCAUUGGCAACCGGACUCUACCAUUGAGCCACCAGAGAAGCCCUGUUUUAUUUUUUAUUGCUCUAUUUCUUCUUUUUUUUUAAAGCCACCUCAAAUGUUGGGAAGAGAGAAAAUCUAAGUAAAUGAAAGUGAGGAAUGCUACAAAUUGUCUGCUUUUAUUUCUGUGAGCAAUUUCUUUACCUGUUUUUGCACAGUUAUGCCUUCCCUUUGCCAAUACUGUAACAUGUAAAGAGACCAAUCAUGGAGUCAAGUCAGGAAACGUGGUUCCUCCUAUUAGCAGCCUGACUCAGCUACUUUCAAGUUCUCUCUUCUGUAAAAUGAAGGGGUUAAAGAUUAUUUCACCCUUUUCUCCAGCCUCAUCUCCUGAGUGGCAGGCAAUCAGCCUUUUCGGUAUCUGUUGACAGUCCCUAUUUUCUUUUUAGGUGCCAUCACAGACUUUUCCUCCAUUCCUGGAAUUUCUAGGUACAGAAUGUAAGGAGGAUGAGACGAUAGCAAUGUAACUUGCUUAAAAUUUAUAUACUAGGUCAAGUCUUUAUGAAGAACUUUACACGUGCUACUUGGGCUGUUUCACAGCUAGUAAGGAACACUAGAAGGGACCUUAGAGAACAUCUAGUUUAAUCCCUUCACUUCAGUAGAUGGAAACAGGCCUAGAAAUAGGAUAUAAUGCUAGAGCGGGGCCCAGUUCUGUAGCUUCCCAAUGCCUAUUUGUUUACAUUAGAGGAAAUCGAAGCCCAGGGACUCCCAUGAAGAAUAGGGCCUAUCAAUCGAGGCAGGCUCUUUGAUCACCUAGAGUCCACUCCCUCUUUUAACAGCAGUUUAGAAGAGGUGCAGCCCCGGCCAGUUUUCUCGAAAUUUAUUGGAUCUGGAUCCAGACCUCCGGGCUUGCACUGUAGCAUGAAUGAAUGUGAUCGUAGUGGUUCUGCCUACAGAGGCACCUCUCCCUGCGUCAGGCCCGGGCGAUUACUCCGGGGGAGGAUUAGGUGUCCUGGUCUUUGAGGUCCCCUUCCCAGGCAGGCGUCUUCUAAGUCCCCGCGUAACCCCAGCUUGGGGUGCAGCCCAGUUGGGUUGGGGGCGUGGCCCGACAGCUGCGAACCAAUCCCAGGCCACCGUAGGUAGAGGCGGGAAGUCCGCUCCCCACCCCGCCCAUUUUCCUCUCAACUGCUGGAAUGCGGGGUGGUGACCUAGGCAACCGCCUUAGCUUGGCGCCCACCGGCCAAAUUCGCUUCGUCCCGCCCCUCUUGGAACAACCAAUCGGAAAACGAAGUCCUUUAAGGGCCAAAAGAAGAAAAAGGACGGCGAUUUUGAUUGGCUGAUUGGAAGAGUCAAGUACAAUCUCUGGCGUGACCCUACGGCUGAGGCUCCGGGAUCUCGCCCAAUUUGGAAAAGGUUGGAAUUUGGCCAUCAAGGGAUAGGAGCCCUAACCACUGGGCAACCAAGGAAUUCCCCACAAUGCCUUCUAAAGUUCUGCAUGAAGAAGCAUCCUGUUUACCAAAUUUUUACUGGACAGAGAAAAAGAAAGAGGUUCUUAGAGACCUUUUCUCUACAAGAAAGGCCUCCAAUGCCAGGAAUGGUCAGCCAGGCAACAUAACAAUGAUUAUAACACUGAAUUCUGGCUUUAUUGAGCGCUUACCUUUUUCUAAGCAGCAUUCGAAAUACUUUCUAUUCAUCAACUCAUUUAAGCCAACAACUAUACAAGGAACAAGGGAAAUACCUUUUUUUUUUUUUCUUUAAAGGUUUACUGAAGGGCCAACCAAAGAGAACAGGCAGCUUUUGCUUAAAAAACCUGAACUUGAAGAUACCAUUAUUAGCUCCAUUUUGCGGGUUUGGAAUCUAAGCUGAGAGAUGUUGGUUGGGGUGUGAAUCCAGGUUGUCUGGAUUCCAGAAUGUGAGCGCUUAAUGUCACUCUCUGAAAGCCAUGGUUUCAGACUGCCCUAGUAAUCACGUGGUUAAGAAUCUGCCUGCCAAGGCGGAGGACACGGGUUCCAUCCCUGAUCCCCCAUGCAGAGGAGCAACUAAGCCCAUACACUGCAACUACUGAAGCCCGUGAGCCCUAGAGCCUCUGUUCCACAAAAGAGAAGCCGCCAAGAUGAGAAGCCAGCACACCACAACUAGGGAGUCGUCCCUGCUCACUGCAACCAGAGAAAGCCUGAGUGCAGCAACAGAGACUCAGAACAGCCAAAAAUAAACAAAUACUUUUUUAAAGGUAUAGUUGUACAACAUAGUAAAUCAACUAUACUUCGAUAAAAAGUUAAAUAAAAAAUAAAAGGUGUAUUUCACAGUGAAGGGGCUUAAUUUCUUCUGUGUUAAAUAAAAACAAAGAUCCAUUCAAUAAAAUAUUUAGUAAUACAAGAACAAGAAAAACAAUUUUAUUGGAAAUAUUCUAACACGUUUUCUGAACAAAUAAUCAAAAAAUAAAUAAGGACAUAAAAAGAUAGGAACAUAUGAAAUUUUGACCUUGAAAACAAAUAGUGUACCUUCAUUUCAAGUUUCAUGGACAGUGACAAACUGCAAUAAAUAUUAAACUACAGAGAAUAUUUUGGUAAAUUUUGAAAAAUAGAAAUUCUAGAAGUCAGUCUCAGAUCAAAAUGCAGUACAACUAACAGUAAUAUAAAACACACCACUCAGAAACUGAAAACCAUAAAUAACAUCUCAAAUUACCCUUAGGACAAGAAGUAAAUCAAGGAUAAAAAGCAAACUAUUUGGGGAUAAUGAUAAUCAUAAUAAAAGGAUACAGUCAAAUCUACCUGCAGAGGCAAAAUUAAUAGCAUUCAAUGCUUUUAGUGUCAAAAAAAGAGAAAAAAACGAAUGAACUAAGCAUGCAAGUUGAGAUCUCUGAAAAGAGUAUAAAAUACUCCCCUACUCCCCAAAUGGGAAAUAUUUAAAAUAGAAAACAGAAAAAAAAAGAACGCCCAGAAGCCUAAGAGGAGGAGAGAUGUACCUUCUGGCCUGUGGACAGGGAAGCGCCUUGGUGCUCCACAUGAACUUGGUCCUCUGACCUGUGCCCUUGAACAUCCCCCUUCUCGCUCCACCUGACAUGCUCGUCCACUCCCAAGGCCUCAGCUCCCUUCUAGCCCCUUGUCUGUGUCAGCACCGCAGCUCCUAGCUUUGUGCCUCUCUGGUGGCAUCUACACGUGCCCUACAAUAAAGUCUCUCCACCUGAGACCCCCUUUCUAGCAGAUGUGAGACCUUCGGAACAGGAGCAUGUCCUCCUCAUGGUCAUAUCCUCAGGGCCUGGGAUAUGGUGGG